CCAAUAGCGUAUAUUAAAGUUGUUGCAGUUAAAAAGCUCGUAGUUGAAUUUUGGAUUCUACCAAUCGGUCCAUCUUUUGAUGAGUACUGGUUGUGUGGGGUCUAUCCGCCUGGUAAUACGUAAUGUCCUUUAUUGGAUGUUGCGGGUAGUCAGGACCUUUACCUUGAAAAAAUUAGAGUGUUUAAAGCAGGCUUAUGCCGGAAUACAUUAGCAUGGAAUAAUAGAAUAGGACGAAGUUGUUUUAUUUUGUUGGUUUCUAGGACAACCGUAAUGAUUAAUAGGGAUAGUUGGGGGCAUUAGUAUUCAAUUGUCAGAGGUGAAAUUCUUGGAUUUAUUGAAGACUAACUAUUGCGAAAGCAUUUGCCAAGGAUGUUUUCAUUAAUCAAGAACGAAAGUUAGGGGAUCGAAGACGAUCAGAUACCGUCGUAGUCUUAACCAUAAACUAUGCCGACUAGGGAUCGGGCGAUGUUGUUUCAAUGACUCGCUCGGCACCUGAUG
rnacentral:misc_RNA from 1 species